rnacentral:snoRNA from 1 species
CAGUGAAGUGAUGACUAUUGUUUCCCUAUUGGUUUGACUGCCGUCAUGAUGGCAUCUAUUGCUUCAAACUUUCUGAUCACUG